GAGUAGAGUGGCGCACGGGUGAGUAACACGUAGGUAAUCUACCUUCGGGUGGGGAAUAACAACCGGAAACGGUUGCUAAUACCGCAUAAUGCAGCGUCACCUAAUGGUGACAGUUGUUAAAGCGGGGGAUCGCAAGAUCUCGCGCCUGAAGAGGAGCCUGCGGCGGAUUAGCUAGUUGGUAGGGUAAUGGCCUACCAAGGCGACGAUCCGUAGCCGGCCUGAGAGGGCGGUCGGCCACACUGACACUGACAUACGGGUCAGACUCCUACGGGAGGCAGCAGUGAGGAAUAUUGGUCAAUGGGCGCAAGCCUGAACCAGCCAUCCCGCGUGCAGGAAGACGGCCCUAUGGGUUGUAAACUGCUUUUCCAGGGGGAGAAACUUGCGUACGCGUUGCGCAAUUGACGGUACCCUGGGAAUAAGCAUCGGCUAACUCCGUGCCAGCAGCCGCGGUAAUACGGAGGAUGCAAGCGUUAUCCGGAUUCAUUGGGUUUAAAGGGUGCGUAGGCGGACUAUUAAGUCAGUGGUGAAAUCCUGCAGCUUAACUGCAGAACUGCCAUUGAUACUGAUAGCCUUGAGUUUGGUUAAGGUAGGCGGAAUGUGUAAUGUAGCGGUGAAAUGCUUAGAUAUUACACAGAACACCAAUUGCGUAGGCAGCUUACUGAGCCGACACUGACGCUGAGGCACGAAAGCGUGGGGAUCGAACAGGAUUAGAUACCCUGGUAGUCCACGCCGUAAACGAUGAUUACUCGCUGUUGGCGAUACACUGUCAGCGGCUAAGCAAAAGCAAUAAGUAAUCCACCUGGGGAGUACGGCCGCAAGGUUGAAACUCAAAGGAAUUGACGGGGGGCCCGCACAAGCGGAGGAACAUGUGGGUUUAAUUCGAUGAUACGCGAGGAACCUUACCUGGGCUUAA
rnacentral:rRNA from 1 species